UUAGCUCAGAGGGGGGAAAGCCAAACACACAUUUUGAAGAUUACAACAGACAUCCCUGAGGCUGAAGGGUCGCUCAGGUCAUUUGACGUCUUGACAAACGAGUCUGUUCUCUUCUGGUUUCACAGCUGGAGUUGUGGGCACGUCCCAGCAAAGGGACACCGUUCACAGAAAUAGCAUAACCUUCCCAGCACGGGUGCCCCAGCCUCCAGCCAGACCACAGGCCAGCUCCUUUCUGAGACCAGAGGCCAGCACUGUUCUCAAAAGAGGGAAGGUUUUCAGCUGGCAGCGAGCUGAGCUGAGGCUGGCACGCCUCUCCUGGGUCCUGUCACGUGAAGAGGGGGAAGUCCUCCAAGGCUCCUGUGGACAGACAGCAGGGGCACUUUCCCAGCUAAAGCACGAGCUCUGGCAUAGGUCUCUGCAUCCAACUUGAAUAGACCACAUCAGCUUCUCCCCAGGUGAUAGUUCCCCCAAGCAGAAUGCACAUUGCCAGAGUCCCUCCGCUAAUUUGUACUCCUCUGUUGUGAUAGGAAAUGCGAGUUCCUUGGCUGGCAUUCCUAUUUCCCACCUUUUCCCUGAUUUCCUUUGAAGUGGCGAUAUGCCCAGCUAUCACCUUUAUUUCCAGCCUGUCUCGCACCUAGGAAUUUCCAAAAAAUGUAAUUUACAGUGAUAGAGUGAAGUUUCCAAUAAAGGAACUUGAAUUUUG
rnacentral:lncRNA from 1 species